rnacentral:rRNA from 1 species
UACGUAGGGACCGAGCGUUGUCCGGAAUCAUUGGGCGUAAAGGGCGCGUAGGCGGCCUGAUAAGUAGGGGGUGAAAUCCUGCGGCUUAACCGCAGGGCUGCCUUCUAAACUGUCAGGCUAGAGCACGGUAGAGGCAGAUGGAAUUCCCGGUGUAGCGGUGGAAUGCGUAGAGAUCGGGAAGAACAUCAGUGGCGAAGGCGGUCUGCUGGGCCGUUGCUGACGCUGAGGCGCGACAGCGUGGGGAGCAAACAGG